rnacentral:piRNA from 1 species
UGAUCUAUGAUAUAAUCCACU